GUGUCUCUGCACCUAUGGUAUAAGACACCAUAGCGCAAAUGCAUCAGUACUUUGAAUGUACUGGUAUGCAUGUGAGAUAGGCUGAAUACAUGGGGUUCAUAUGCAUGAACAAUAUUAAUACAACAACAACAAACCCAGUGUAUUCCCACUUAGUGGGGUCUGGGGGGGGUAAGAUGUACGCAGUCCAUACCUCUACCUCUGAUGAAGUAGAAAGGCUGUUUCCGAAAGACCCCCGGCUCAAGGCACAAGAUAUCACACAAACACAUAGUAAAGCACAGAAGCAGAUGACAUAACAUAAAUGCGGCACCCAUAAGGAAUAUAAAACAGAGGAAAGCAGAGGAAAGCACACAGAUUCGUAAUAAGCAUGGAACACUGAAUACGGAAUCAUAACGGGA
rnacentral:lncRNA from 1 species